rnacentral:lncRNA from 1 species
CGGACACCCGGAGAACAUGCGCUGACUUUUGGGGGCUCCGCGAAGAUCGGACCUGGUCUCGAAAACUUCGCAAAAUAACAAUCGUGUCAUUGGAUAAAUACACCGCGUCUCUCCCAACAGUGUCAGAGGUCGAGGGGCGGCGGCGCACAGCAGGGCUCGGGGCGCGGGGGCAGCGGGGACCCCCGAGAGCCGAGCCCUGGGCACCGAGCGGCCGCGCGGGGCCACGGCGUCACCCCCUCAUCCUCCGCUAGCCCGGAGCCCGGCCCAGCGGUGCCCGCACUCGAGGCACAGGACCCGCCGCCCAAUGGGGGGGCCCCGGACACGGUAACCGCUCGCAGGCGCCGCGUCGGGGCAGCUGGGGCAGCGCGGGCUGCGUGGAGGGAGAGCCCGGGGACAGCGAAGGACGGGGCGGCCCCCGGGCGGGGCGGACAACGGGCUGCAGGCGGGCGGGGCUGCUCGGAGGCCAUGUCCGGCGCCGACACUCCACGUGGGCCUGCGAGGCUCCAUCUCCACAACCAGGGUCCGCGCCCCGGCUUCCCGCCCCACCAACUCCGGGGUGAGCAGAGGUGAACUCCCCAUUGGAGGAGUCUGGUCACGUGACCACGCCCUAUUGCAAGGGACGCUGGGAAAGAGCAGAUGCCGGGGAUCCCGGGAGAGGGAGGAUGCAAGGGACGCUGGGAAAGAGCGGAUGCAAGGGACGCUGGGAGAGGGAGGAUGCAAGGGACGCUGGGAAAGAGCGGAUGCAAGGGAUGCUGGGAGAGGGAGGAUGCAAGGGAGAGGGCGGACGGUCCUGUCGUCAGGUCCCGACUGGCCUCCGCCUUGAGCAGAACACAGACGUCACGGGUGCACGUGACGUGGUCAGAGCGCCGCCGCCUCCCUCUUCGCCGGGCUCCAGAUCUCCCAAGUGGCUGCCGGCGGGCCCCGGCGUCACGAUGACCCGUGGAGACACCGUGUGCAUCACUGAAGGGGUUAAAGGCGGCAGUGGCAGGCGAGGUUUUGGAAAGCUGGGGUUUGGGGAAAUAGUUUACAGGGAAAGAGGUCUGCAGUACCCCUGUCCUCGGCCCAGGCUGCAGCUUUGCCUCCCAUUAACGCUGUUAGGGAGGGCAGAUACCGGGCUGCACUGGUAG